UGGCUGCCCGGUCCCCGGAUGAAAGGCAGGGGGCGGUCCAUGAAGCCAGCUCAAAGAGGCGGCAGAGGAGUAAGGAGUUCGGCGUCACCCGCCUCGUUAGACUGAGUUGUGUUUCCCCCACAAUUCAUAUGUUGAAGGCUGUUGGGCAGAAACACCAUGCAUUGGUUAUCGAUGUCAGAGGAGGCCUUCAUGGAGGAUAGCAGAGAUCAUCACAGUGACAGCCACCAGCAAUAGAAGUCUAAACACUUCUGUCUGCUUCAUCUUGUUAUUGGAGUUGCCAAGAAAAUCACAGCACAGUCAAGCACUGGAUGGAACAACUCUAUACUCAUAGAGAGAAGAGACAGGAAACUCGACUCCAAUAGCAUGUAUUGGCCCCCAUGGCUGGCAGAAGCCCCCAGCAGCUGACACAGGGAAAUUGGCCUACGAGCAUUGCUCUUGCCGUAGUGGAAGGAUUCCUUCCCUUCCCCCAAGGAGUGAGAAAUACUAAAUGCUAGGAGUGGGCCAGAACAAAGCAGAGCAAAGGAGUACACAUUGAGCCUGCAACUGGAAAACAUACUCCCACCCAAGGUGCUAGGCCCAGAACAGGCUGUGUGGACAAUUUAUCUUCUAGUAAGGAAGUAUUCCAGGCCCCUGGCCCCCUCUUAUGUGACUGAUGGGGUACUCACCAUCUGCCUUUCCCAACAAAUCUGACUGCAUUUGGAGACGGGCCUUUAGGAAGGAGAGAACGGGAAAGGAAGAUAACUGUAUUCAUGAGUGAAGCAAAGGAAGAGACUCUAGAAAAAAGGUGGCCAAUUUCUUGACCAGUAAGGAGAGAAUAAAGAGAGAAAAAUAGAAAAAAAGUAAAGGUAGAAGAAUGAAGCACAUUCUAUCUACGAUGAUACAAAUUAGCCGUCUAUUAAAUUUCAAAAAUGGCAUGUUUAUUUGAAUUAAAUUAUUUUUAGGUUAUAUUGUUUCAUGAAGAACUCAAGAAUAUCCAUCACUUGGUCAAACCUAAUCACUGAGCGUUACAUCUGGAAAAGAAUUAUAUGAAUGACAGAACCCUUAAUUUCUAAUGAUAUACUGAGCUAUUUAUCAAGAAAACCAUAUAAUGAUAGAAUAUUUCAUUUAGAAGGCAUCAUAAUACAGGAUUUCUGUUCUAAUUCAUGAUACUCACUAUCCUACAAUUGGAAGAGCAUCCUCUAUCUACUGCUAGAAAAUCUCUGGUCGUCAAGAACAUAUUAAGAUACAAGUCCAGUGUCCAGAAGGUUAGGUUCAUCAUUUAAACUGAACCAAAGUCCGCCUCUACACAACCCAAAUUCAGUCUUUAUUUUCUUUCUAGGAGAAUAUUAAAUCUACUACUUCCUCUGUACACCAUUUCUUUGAAUAGUUAAGCAUACUCAUCUUCCUUCAGUGAACACACCUAGCUCAUGAAUUUGUUUUAAAGGACUUGAUUUCUGAGUUCCCCACUUUGUUUUCAUGUUUAACUUUAUUCUAGUUUGUAAAUAUUUUUAAAAUUAGACAUUUAAAAAUGAUUAGUUUAC